UCUCCUCAGGUCAGCAACAAGCUCACCUCAAAGCUCAGGAGAGACACCUGAACCCAGCGUCAUUCUCUGACUCUCUAGAUUUCAGCAGGAACAAUGGCCAACAUUGGUAAUACCAGCAACGUACACUUGGGCUCCAACACAGGGAACGUUGGUUCUAAUAAUGCCUUCAACAUUCAAGGAGGCGUUGGACCCAAUGUUGCUGUGGGCAACACCUCUGGUGUCACUGUAACAGGAAGUAAUGCAGGGAACAUCGGAUCAGGCAACACAUUUGAUA